ACUAGGAACAGUCCAGUAAGACACGCAGCUGGAAAGUACGGGACGGCUUCCGGGAUUUGGCGGGUCCUUUGUCUCUUCCUGCAGCCAGAGCUCCUGGUGUCGUCUUCACUGGUCUGUGUCCUCCGCUUCUGGAGGCCCAGUUUGUGUGGCCCUGUGACCUGCAAGUAUUGGGAGAUCCACGGCUAAGACGCCAGGACCCACUAGGAAACCUAGAAAUGGUACAGCACCGUGCGCCACCUUCUAGCUGACUUGGAACAGGAGACCAGAGAGGCCCUGAAGUCCCUGUAUGGCUUUCCAGAGUCCCGGAAGCGCCGAGAGGCGGAGUCCUGGAGCUCCGUCUCGGAGGGAAAGCAGCCUAGAUUCUCCCACCGGAUCCCGCUGCUGAUCCUUGAUCAGGAUGAGAAGGGCAAGGCCAGGGACUUCUUCACAGGGAGGAAGCGGAAAGUCGGCGGUAGCAUCAUUCACAAGGCUUCAAAUGUCAUGCACAUCGAGUCCAAGCAGGUGGUGGGAUUCCAACUGUGCUCAAAUGACACCUCCGACUGUGCCACCUACACCUUCAGCUCGGGAAUCAGUGCCAUUCAGGAGUGGUAUAAGCUGCACUACAUGAACAUCAUGGCACAGGUGCCUCUGGAGAAGAAAAUCAACAUGAGCUAUUCUGCUGAGGAGCUGCUGGUGACCUGCUUCUUUGAUGGAGUGUCCUGUGAUGCCAGGUGUGUCUCAGAUGACUGGAAGUGAAACCUUAUGCAUUGGAAUUGCCAGAUAAACAUUCCUUGGCCUUUGUUGUAUUCGUUGAAAGGAUUGAUGGCAUGAGUUUACUGGUGCAGAGAACCAUUGCAAGCCUUCGCCUAAAGAAAAUUUUUAGAGGUGUGUUUGUAAAAGUCACCCCCUAGAACCUAAAAAUCUGCUUAUAGUGGAAGCUUAUAUAGUGGAACCUUAUGGGACCUGAGUAUUUCCAAAUCUGAAGUCUGUCUGGGAACUCAUUUUGAAAUGUGGACAAGCCAAGGUCAAGAAUAAGACCAUCCCUCUGACAGACAACACAGUGAUUGAGGAGCAUCUUGGGAAGUUUGGUGUCAUUUGCUUGGAAGACUAUUCAUGAAAUUGCCUUUCCAGAGAAGCAUUUCCAGGAGAUCUCAUGGUUCUUGUGCCUUUUCCUCCUCUCAGUAGGCUGUCAUGCUACCAAAAAUAGAAUAGGCUUCCUCAAGGAGAUCGGCACACCUGGCUAUCAAGAUGAACGCAUCAAGCAGCAUACCCGCCAGCUGAACUAGACCCAGGUGCCAAAACUGCAGUCAAUUUUUAUCAAUGAAGUGGCAACGUGUUUUUGGUUUUUUGGAGAAUUUUUAUCAAGUAUCUUCAGAGAAGAUUAUUUCCUGGUUUGUCUUCAAAAACCAGGAGGUGUCAAAGAAAAGACAGUAGCUUAUGUUCAUGGCAAGUAACUCUCAUCACAGUCCAGUUCCAAGGAAAAUUUCCAGAAUUUUCUACAUUGGCUGCCACCUUGUCUGAAAGCAGCACAUUCUAUGGAGGAAGGAAUCCUGCUUUGUUCCAUCUUCUAUUCUAGGGUUUAAUGUUGGUAAACGAGUAACUCUAGCAUUUGUACAGGGCUCCCUAAGACUCCUGCAGCAGGCAACCAAGCACAGGGACGUAAUUGAAUCUGGAGAUUCCUGGGGACUUGUUUUGAAAAAGACAUGAAAUACACAUAGGAAGAAAGGCACAAAAAUAAAUAUUCGCUUGUCUCUGCUGUGAGACUAUGCUCCAACUUUUCAGUGAUGGCUUUGAGAGCUCUCAGACUUGACUGGCUCUAAGUGUAUCUGGUGGCUUUUGUAUUCUAACCUGAAACUGGCUUAGUACUUUUUCCUAAAAGCUCAAGAUUUGAGAAUGUGGACCCCUUCACCAGAAAAACAUGUAUAAACUGAAAAUGUUGCUUGCAGUUCUAUGGUGUUUAGACCCUUCUCACCUUACGGGUUUUGUUUUUUGUUUUUGUCUGUGUUUUGAGACACUGUUGCACAGGCUGGAGUGCAGUGGUGUGAUCUCAGCUCACUGCAGCCUCCACCUUCUGGGUUCAAGUGAUUCUCCUGCCUCAGCUUCCCAAGUAGCUGGGAUUACAGGCGUGUGCCAUCAUGACUGGCUAAUAUUUGUAUUUUUAGUAGAGACGGAGACAGGGUUUUCAACAUGUUGGCCAGGCUAGUCUCGAACUCCUGACCCCCACUGAUCCAUCCGCCUCUGCCUCCCAAAGUGCUGGGAUUACAGGCGUGAGCAACCGCACCCGGCCCUUGUGUACCUUAUGUGAGGAAGUCCUGCUCUUAAUCAGGAUCUGUCACGCAGACCCUGAUCUUGCUUCUCUGGUUCCAUGUCCUAUGGAAGACCAAAGCUCACCAAGAUAGCCUUUUCCCUUCAUGGUGGCAGAUAGUGUUGCCCCCUGCACCGUCUAUACCCACCAUUUCUCCCCCUGGGUUUCAGGAUAGAAUUACUUGUUUUUUCUGAUGAUCAGCACUCUCCCUUAAAACACAAAUCAGGAAGGAAUUAACUAUUUUCUUCAUUUGGCAUGAAUGAAAUUAGUACUGUUUGGCUUUGUAGGCCCCAGACAGGCAGGCAGCUUAAUUAUUUCCUUGCAUAUUCUAGCCUCCAGAAGUAUUGCCCCUUAUCCUGCUAAUAAUGACAUAGUAGCUAGUAGACCAGCAACUGGGCAUCUGGGGAUUUUCAUCCUGAAAACAGUGGGUCUGAUACUGCUUGUGUUUUUUAUCAGUGUCCACCCCAAGUGGGUCUUCCUGCUACUAUCUUCACUUAGUUACCCCCCACUUGCCAUCUGAGCAGUUGGUGAGGAUGUGCCAGGCCUAGGUUAAACUUGGAAACAUGCUUGACCAUUCUAUUCCCUGCUCCUUUCAGAUCAGUUUGGCUGCAAUUUUGGCUCCUGAGACCCUCAAGCACAGCUGGGAAAUCAAGUUAGAGGCGUAACUGCCUUAAAAUAUGCCCACUUAUGAGGUAAUUAGAUUGGUUCUUUCCGAGGUAACCUGCCAAGAAGAGAUGCUAUAGAUGUUACUCUAAUACUGUAAAACAUUGUGAAAUCAGAUUACUUUAAAAUGAUGUAUUACAAACUUAUGGAAGAAGCAGUUGUGACUAUGGAAACCCAAGGCUUAUAUCCCAGCUCUGUCUUACACUAAAUAUGGGUACUCUGUUUCCACUCUUGUCUAUAAAAUGGGAGCUAAUAUCCUCCAACCUGUUUGCCUGACAUGGUGGUUAAAAGGAUUAAGCAAAACAAUAUUUUGUAAUUUAUUCUGUCAGAGCAAACUGAUGGUAAAUAAAUAAAAGGGAGUAAGUUGAUUAAAAGUAAAUUUUUUAAAAAAAUAAGAAAAACCAUAAAACAUGUUUGUAAUUUAUAAUUGUAUACAAAUAAAAAAUGUUUUAAAAAAUUAAUCGAAUUCACAUCUUUGAAUGGCUUGGCAUAAUUGCCAUGU